rnacentral:misc_RNA from 1 species
GAAAUGCGAUAAUUAAUGUGAAUUGCAGAAUUCAGUGAAUCAUCGAGUCUUUGAACACACAUUGCGCCCCCUGGUAUUCCGGGGGGCAUGCCUGUCCGAGCGUCAUUGCUGCCCUCAAGCACGGCUUGUGUGUUGGGCUUCCGUCCCUGGCAACGGGGACGGGCCCAAAAGGCAGUGGCGGCACCAUGUCUGGUCCUCGAGCGUAUGGGGCUUUGUCACCCGCUCCCGUAGGUCCAGCUGGCAGCUAGCCUCGCAACCAAUCUUUUUAACCAGGUUGACCUCGGAUCAGGUAGGGAUACCCGCUGAACUUAAGC